AGUCGAGGGGCAGCGGAAGAAGUAGCUUGCUACUUCUGCCGGCGACCGGCGCACGGGUGCGUAACGCGUAUGCAACCUACCUUUAACAGGGGGAUAAUCCGAAGAAAUUUGGUCUAAUACCCCAUAAUAUUUCAGAAGGCAUCUUUUGAGGUUGAAAACUCCGGUGGUUAAAGAUGGGCAUGCGUUGUAUUAGCUAGAUGGUGAGGUAACGGCUCACCGUUGCGAUGAUACAUAGGGGGACUGAGAGGUUUUCCCCCCACACUGGUACUGAGACACGGACCAGACUCCUACGGGAGGCAGCAGUGAGGAAUAUUGGUCAAUGGACGCAAGUCUGAACCAGCCAUGCCGCGUGCAGGAUGAAGGUGCUAUGCAUUGUAAACUGCUUUUGUACGAGGGUAAAUUCAGAUACGUGUAUCUGUUUGAAAGUAUCGUACGAAUAAGGAUCGGCUAACUCCGUGCCAGCAGCCGUGGUAAUACGGAGGAUCCGAGCGUUAUCCGGAUUUAUUGGGUUUAAAGGGUGCGUAGGCGGUUUGAUAAGUUAGAGGUGAAAGCUCGAUGCUCAACAUCGAAAUUGCCUCUGAUACUGUCAGACUAGAGUGUAGUUGCGGAAGGCGGAAUGUGUGGUGUAGCGGUGAAAUGCUUAGAUAUCACACAGAACACCGAUUGCGAAGGCAGCUUUCCAAGCUAUUACUGACGCUGAGGCACGAAA
rnacentral:rRNA from 1 species